AGUGAACGCUGGCGGUAGGCCUAACACAUGCAAGUCGAACGGCAGCACAGUAAGAGCUUGCUCUUACGGGUGGCGAGUGGCGGACGGGUGAGGAAUACAUCGGAAUCUACUUUUUCGUGGGUGAUAACGUAGGGAAACUUACGCUAAUACCGCAUACGACCUACGGGUGAAAGCAGGGGAUCUUCGGACCUUUCGCGAUUGAAUGAGCCGAUGUCGGAUUAGCUAGUUGGCGGGGUAAAGGCCCACCAAGGCGACGAUACGUAGCUGGUCUGAGAGGAUGAUCAGCCACACUGGAACUGAGACACGGUCCAGGCUCCUACGGGAGGCAGCAGUGGGGAAUAUUGGACAAUGGGCGCAAGCCUGAUCCAGCCAUACCGCGUGGGUGAAGAAGGCCUUCGGGUUGUAAAGCCCUUUUGUUGGGAAAGAAAAGCAGCAGGUUAAUACCCCGCUGUUCUGACGGUGCCCAAAGAAUAAGCACCGGCUAACUUCGUG
rnacentral:rRNA from 1 species